UUUGAUGGCGACCGGCGCACGGGUGAGUAACACGUAUCCAACCUGCCGAUGACUCGGGGAUAGCCUUUCGAAAGAAAGAUUAAUACCCGAUGGCAUAGUUCUUCCGCAUGGUAGAACUAUUAAAGAAUUUCGGUCAUCGAUGGGGAUGCGUUCCAUUAGGUUGUUGGCGGGGUAACGGCCCACCAAGCCUUCGAUGGGUAGGGGUUCUGAGAGGAAGGUCCCCCACAUUGGAACUGAGACACGGUCCAA
rnacentral:rRNA from 1 species